rnacentral:rRNA from 1 species
AUGUCGAGCUCCACUUCAGCCUCCCGCCCCUCGUGGACCCAGUAUGGUCCACUUCCCAUGGAGCGAUGUCCUGACGGCCCACGCAGCGCGCCACUGAUACAGUUGACUUCGAAGGAGGUCAAGAAUGGCAACUAUGGGCGCGAGUUCGUGAAAUGCGAGAGCAAGCCAGAGGGGCAGAUCAUGAAGAAAUGCACACAUUUUGAAUGGCUGGAUGACUACGUUAAGCGGAUUCAAUUCAAUGGGGCCCCAACCCGGGAGCUCAAUCUGCCGUCAGCAACAACCAAUUUGGUCUCUGAAAGUGCUGCUCUGACAGUUGGGGAUGCAUAUCUGAAGGGGAAAUAA